rnacentral:lncRNA from 1 species
AUCCUCGCCCGGCGCCUCACUCACCAAGGGCCGCGCCGGGGUUCUGCACUGUCACUGCGCUGCGGUUCCCCGCCUUAGGGAUUCUCACACGGUUCCACGGCUCCAGGCCCGGCGGCACCGCAGCCAUCAUGCGAGGCGGGGGGACUUACGAAAGGCGGAGCUACGCGAGAGCACGUCCAGCGACCGGAGUCUGGAACAGUUCCUCGUUCUUUCUCUGGCUCUGGAUCUGCGUCCCUGACAGUCUUAAAGAGGACAGACCUUUCAUUCAUGAGGAUGACCCUCAACUUGGCCCAGUCCAUGUUUCCUCAGACUCAAGCCUUGCAUUCCUGGCAGAAAGACUGAAGAAAUGAUGCUGUGCUCUUCUCAGUGCUUCGCGUCAGGAGGCUCUACUCUCUCAACCGGCCCCACUAUUGGGCAUCUUGAGACAAUGUUCUGCCUACACAAAAUUCUAAACUGAGAGGAGUGGCUCAGAAGCUCUACUAACAUGGAAUCACAUGUGGGUUGCAGGAGGCUGGAGACUAUCCCAGCAGCACAUGGCACAAAGCAAGAACCAGCCCCGGACAGGACGCCAUUCCAUCACAGGUGCACUCACACCCACCAGCACUCACUCAGACUGGGCCCAUUUAGACACACCGAUUCAUCCAACAUGCAUAUCUCUGGGGUGUGGAAGGAAACUGGAUUACCUGGUGAAAACCCACACAGACAUGGGGAGAACAUGCCAGCUCUACACAAACAGUGGCCUGGUGGG